CCCUUAGAUGGUCUGGGCGGCACGCGCGCUACAAUGAUGCAUUCAAAAAGUCUUCUGACCUUAGAAGGUUUGGUAUUCUCCAAAGUGCAUCGUGAUGGGAAUAGUUUAUUGCAAUUUUUAAUCUUGAACGAGGAAUUCCUAGUAAGUACAGGUCAUCAACUUGCAUUGAUUACGUCCCUGCCCUUUGUACACACCGCCCGUCGCACCUACCGAUUGAACGUUCCGGUGAGACCUUGGGAUUUGGUCUUUGGUACUUUAUUGUGCCGUUGACCGAAAAACUUGAGCAAACCUUAACGUUUAGAGGAAGGUGAAGUCGUAACA
rnacentral:rRNA from 1 species